GACGAACGCUGGCGGCGUGCUUAACACAUGCAAGUGGAGCGACGAACCGGGCUUCGGCCCGGGGCAAAGCCGCGAACGGGUGAGUAACACGUGGGUAACCUGCCCCGAUGACCGGGACAACCCGAGGAAACUCGGGCUAAUACCGGAUGUGCUCGCAGCACAUCAGUGGAGCGAGUAAAGGAAGCUUCGGCCUCCGCAUUGGGAUGGGCCCGCGGCCCAUUAGCUUGUUGGUGAGGUAAAAGCUCACCAAGGCAACGAUGGGUAGCUGGUCUGAGAGGACGAUCAGCCACACUGGGACUGAGACACGGCCCAGACUCCUACGGGAGGCAGCAGUGGGGAAUCUUGCGCAAUGCGCGAAAGCGUGACGCAGCAACGCCGCGUGAGGGAAGACGGCCUGG
rnacentral:rRNA from 1 species